rnacentral:misc_RNA from 1 species
CCAAAAACAACGGCCGAAAGGCCUUGCCCUAGGGGGGGAGACCUCCCGACGGUAAACCCUUUGUGAAAACCCUUCGUUUGCCUCGGCGGCACCCUUUAAUCGGGGGUCAGCCCGCCGACGGCACCAACCAAAACUCUUUUGAAUUGAAGAAUCUAGUCUGAAUCAAUGGUCGAAUGACUAUA